GGCAGAGAGGGGUGUUCUCUCUCACACACCGUCACAGCUCUGGGAUGAGGAGUGCCAUCUACUCCACUACACGUCUGCUGUGCUGCUGAAAGAAGACGAACAGGGAAGUAAAGGAGCUUUACAGCGUGACAUCAAGAAAAUUCAAAAGGACAAGUUAACAAUCCUGAAGUGUCUUUAUCAGUGACCUAAGAACAUCUCCAAAUCAGCCAUGGAGCAGAAAACAAAUGAGUGUCACACCUCCACCUCUCUGCAGAAGCACAUGAAGAACAGGUCUAAAUCCACAGAGGAGACACAACAGUCCAGAAAGGCAUUCUCCUCACAAAAGUCACUGCCAGGCAGGCCAGAUCUGGACAAAGUGAAGGAGAGUCCAGAAGGCCCUGACACACUUUCCUCCUCCACAGAAGAGUUAAAGUGACAUAAAAAAAUCACCUUAAAGCCACUAAAUAACUCAUAGAAAAUGUACAUAUGUUAACAAAAAAAAAAAUUAUCUUUAUGAUCCAUUUAAGCUGUGGAUAUAAUGCUGAAACAACCGGCAUGAAACAAACUUCCAUUUGAUGAAGCUGUGUCAUUGUGCUGUGACUUGUAAAACUGUUUAGUAAUAGUAAAGUGAUGUUGUAUAACUGCAUAUUUUUUCUGUUUUUGAUUCUUUGCAAUAACAGAUUAAUGAUAUGUGCAAACAGAUUUUAAAAUACAGAUUUAGGGCCUCCCUAUUUCCUUUUAUUUUCAAAAAUGCUCAUAGAGGGUCCAUGAGAAAAGACCAGGGAACUUUUCAUACUUGUUCAGCUAAAAGUGAUUUGGAGCAAAUGGAAACAUCUACAAAUUAUGUUAAAUAAUUUCUUUCUCUUCUUUUACAUUCUGAUAGCCCUAAAGUACUAAAUGAAACAUAUUUAUAUUUUUACAAAAGCAGAUAGUUCACAUUGUUCAUCUAUAACAGAGUGUAUCUUGUGGUACCUGAUUUAACUUUUUAACAAGAUCAGUUUGGAAAUAUCGUGCUUAAUCGUUUUAUAGAAUAUAAUAAUAUAGAAAAAAAACACUAGAAUACUUUUUUUUAAAAGAAGUAUAAGUAAUACCAGAGUGGAAUUUUGUAUUCAUCUCAGCGUACUCUAGACCUGAUUAAAACCCAGAGCAAACAACUGCCUCUAAAAAUUCCUCCAAAGUCAGCAAGUUUAAAGAUGGCUGUUCUGUUCUGUAAAGGCUCAGGUUUGUUAGAGAAUAUUGAAUAUAACAGAUAAGGUAUAAAUCUUUAAAGAAGGGUUAAGUUACAGCUCUGGAUGGGUGAUAAAAACAGUGAACAUUUUUGAUUAAAUGCUAAAAGACACCCGUGUUGGUAAACCUAGCCUGGUGAGGCAGAUUAUGAAUGUUUAUCUCUCUUGGUUUAGUUCUACACAUCUGAGCCUGUUCAGCUGAAGGAGGGACAUUCAGCUGAACCUACAGGGUGAUAUUACACCCAGUACCAAAGUAUGGUUUAAGCCAGUGAGUUAAAAAAUAAAUAAAAAAAAUGUUUCUAUCCAAAGUGGCACAAUGCACUUCUCUCAGAGAUCCUUCAGUUGCUACUAUGUUUAUUUUUGGUUCAGUUGCCGUUGCUUUCAUCACAGUUGUAUGUCCCACAUUGUACUCUAAUAUUGCACCUUGAUUGGCAAGCUCUGGGUUGCAUAGAAAUGACAAGGACACUUACUUCCCUGGACUGUGGGAUCUAAUCUUAGAUGGAGCACAGUUAGAAUCAGAUGUUCAUUUCAAACCAAUGCACACAGACUAGUUCUUACAGUUUGACUCCCAUCAGCCACUGGAACACAAGUUAGGACUCUGGAUUCUGUUCAGUAUUCUGUAUCACAGAGUAGACAAUGUCCCCACAGACAAAGGAGCCAAAAGAGCAGUCACACACAAGAUGGGCUCUAGAGAAGGGUUCUUCAACAUUUUCCAGGCUAAGGACCCCCAAACUGAUGGAGAGAUGGAGCGGGGACCCCCCAAUUAUAUAUUUUGUAUGAAAUUGUGUUAUAUCAAACUGGUCCUAUAGUCACUCUUUUACAAAUGGAGUUAUGUAAUGAAAGCAACUUCACCCUGGGAUUGUUAAAGUAUUUCUGAUUCGUCGUUGAUAGGACAAGUGUUGUGAAU